rnacentral:rRNA from 1 species
CCUACGGGAGGCAGCAGUGAGGAAUAUUGGUCAAUGGACGAGAGUCUGAACCAGCCAAGUAGCGUGAAGGAUGACUGCCCUAUGGGUUGUAAACUUCUUUUAUCAAGGAAUAAAACGCGGCACGUGUGCCUUUUCGCAUGUACUUUAUGAAUAAGGAUCGGCUAACUCCGUGCCAGCAGCCGCGGUAAUACGGAGGAUCCGAGCGUUAUCCGGAUUUAUUGGGUUUAAAGGGAGCGUAGAUGGGUUGUUAAGUCAGUUGUGAAAGUUUGGGGCUCAACCGUAAAAUAGCAAUUGAUACUGGCAGUCUUGAGUACAGUAGAGGUAAGCGGAAUGCGUGGUGUAGCGGUGAAAUGCUUAGAUAUCACGAAGAACCCCGAUUGCGAAGGCAGCUUACUAGACUGUGACUGACAUUGAUGCACGAAAGUGUGGGUAUCGAACAGGAUUAGAUACCCCUGUAGUC